rnacentral:rRNA from 1 species
UACGUAGGGACCAAGCGUUGUUCGGAUUUACUGGGCGUAAAGGGCGCGUAGGCGGCCAGCGCAAGUCAGUUGUGAAAUCUCCGGGCUUAACUCGGAACGGUCAACUGAUACUGCGCGGCUAGAGUGCGGAAGGGGCAACUGGAAUUCUCGGUGUAGCGGUGAAAUGCGUAGAUAUCGAGAGGAACACCUGCGGCGAAGGCGGGUUGCUGGGCCGACACUGACGCUGAUGCGCGAAAGCCAGGGGAGCGAACGGG